UCAACAGCAUGAACAUGAUCCACAUCAUUCCCGAACUCUGAAGGGAAGAACCUCUUAAUAUUACCAGCUUCAUUAAUGGCGGCAAUAAUCUUGGUCUGAUCAGCAACUUGCAGGGCACCAACUGUGGAUAUCACCACAUCCACCUGCUUAAUUGCCUUCACCAAACUCUCAUGGUCGUAAAGAUCUCCAGGAAGUAUGGUGACCCCCAAGUUCUUGAAAUUCUCGAUAAUCUUUCCCUUAACUGGAUCAGAAACUGUGCUCUCC
rnacentral:misc_RNA from 1 species